CUACACACCAAGGCAGAGCAUUUCUAAGCCUGAAAAACAUGUGCUGACUAUUCCUCCCACAACUACUCCAAAGAUGGCCAAUCUGCACAGAUGUACUGGCCAGACAGCUGGCAUGUGUCAGGACUGAGAGCAGACACAGCACAUGCUUCUCCAUGUUAUCAGUAAUGUGGGAACUCGGAAGAGAGCCACUCCUCUUCUGCUGUCUCCAAAAUGCACGGUACACAAGGAGAAUGAGAUCUGGUCAUUAGACAGCUCCUUCAGCUGUUCUCUCAGUGAUGCUCUGGAUCCUGUUUCCUACAUUGCUGCCAGCUUUCAGGAUGAAAGAUCCUUCAGUAUAAAAGCAAAAU